AUUACUUCUUAACAUCUCUUCUUUCCUACUUUUGUUUCUGCGUUGUGAAACGAAGGAUAGACUUGCCCAGAGAUGUUAUUAUGUCUCCUGGAAUCUAUGCAAACAGGCUUCGAUUGAAACGGGAGGUGGACUGAGUCUCGUCUCUAAAUCAUGUAGAAACCAACCAAAUGGGUCUUUAUAAAUACGGACGCCUAUGAAUUAAUCAACUGGAUUGAAUGAAUUACACGCAAAAUGAAGAAUGUUGUAAUAAAUAUUUUUAUAAUUAAAAGUUUAAAAAUAAAAUAUAAAAGGGCAUGUUUUUUUUAAUUGUUUUAAAAAUUAAUUCAUAAAUGUUUGACCUGUCAAUAUCGAUUGUGUCUAGUGUAUAACAAUAUUUGGAACAUAAAUACACAACGCAGACACGGAGGACUAAAAGUCGAUAGAGUUUUAUAUAGCGAUCAAUGGAAAUAGGGGAUUAAUGCAGAGACAUGGGAGGAAUUUGUCUAUAUAUUGAGUCUGAAAUAGGAUACUUUGUUAUUUGGCCACUGGCUCAGUUUUAUUGCAAGGAAUUCUAAUUGGUCAACCGCAGACAGGCUAGGGCUGGGUUAUAAAACUACACGCUGUCCCUUUGUUCUGGGGGGGGGAGAAUCACAGGAGAGAAUCACUGAGGACAGGGAAGGAACUGUUCGAUGGAGAGAAUCACUGAGAACAGGGAAGGAACUGUUUGAUGGAGAGAAUCACUGAGGACAGGGAAGGAACUGUUCGAUGGAGAGAAUCACUGAGGACAGGGAAGGAACUGUUUGAUGGAGAGAAUCACAGAAGAGAAUCACUGAGAACAGGGAAGGAACGACCAUCUACCUCUCAGCGUAACAUCUAUGAUUUAUCCUCUUUUGAAUAAACCUGUUUUCCUCCCCCUGAUUUGCGUUGGGCUUUGUGUUAUUGAAGAAUAACGUCAAGUGGUAACACUGGUAUUAUGUUUUGGGGAGGGGGCUUUUUCUCUCCAGUUUCUUCUGAGUUUUUUCUGAGCUUCUGACACACACCACAUUAAGUUUCUGUACAGAUGAAUGCACAGUAUUGUUUGGCAAGCUGCUACCAAAAUAGGUACAGUCGGUCCUCGGUCUAAAGUAGUUUUGUAGCAGCUUGCCACUUAUUAAGACAUUUUGCGUUUCCUGUCUUUCACUCUUUUUUUUCUUCUUUUAAUAAUCUCCUUUUAGACGAAUGUGUGUCGGCACUCUUAUCUCACCGCAUGCCACAUUCUAUAGAUGGCUGACUCUCAAACUCUUCCUUGUUA
rnacentral:lncRNA from 13 species